rnacentral:rRNA from 1 species
GUAGGUGGCAAGCGUUGUCCGGAAUUAUUGGGCGUAAAGCGCGCGCAGGCGGUUCUUUAAGUCUGAUGUGAAAGCCCACGGCUCAACCGUGGAGGGUCAUUGGAAACUGGAGAACUUGAGUACAGAAGAGGAAAGCGGAAUUCCUCGUGUAGCGGUGAAAUGCGUAGAGAUGUGGAGGAACACCAGUGGCGAAGGCGGCUUUCUGGUCUGUAACUGACGCUGAGGCGCGAAAGCGUGGGGAGCAAACAGGAUUAGAUACCCUGGUAGUCCACGCCGUAAACGAUGAGUGCUAAGUGUUAGGGGGUUUCCGCCCCCCUUAGUGCUGCAGCUAACGCAUUAAGCACUCCGCCUGGGAGUACGGCCGCAAGGCUG